AGCAGCCGCCACGGGAAUACGUAGGUGGCAAGCGUUGUCCGGAUUUAUUGGGCGUAAAGCGAGCGCAGGCGGUCAAUUAAGUCUGAUGUGAAAGCCCCCGGCUCAACCGGGGAGGGUCAUUGGAAACUGGUUGACUUGAGUGCAGAAGAGGAGAGUGGAAUUCCACAUGUAGCGGUGAAAUGCGUAGAGAUGUGGAGGAACACCAGUGGCGAAGGCGACUCUCUGGUCUGUAACUGACGCUGAGGAGCGAAAGCGUGGGGAGCGAACAGGAUUAGAUACCCCGGUAGUCCCUGUCUCUUAUAC
rnacentral:rRNA from 1 species